UGGGGAAUAUUGCACAAUGGGCGAAAGCCUGAUGCAGCAACGCCGCGUGAGUGAUGAAGGCCUUCGGGUUGUAAAGCUCUGUCUUUUGGGACGAUAAUGACGGUACCAAAGGAGGAAGCCACGGCUAACUACGUGCCAGCAGCCGCGGUAAUACGUAGGUGGCAAGCGUUGUCCGGAUUUACUGGGCGUAAAGGAUGCGUAGGCGGAUUUUUAAGUGAGAUGUGAAAAACCCUAAGCUUAACUUGGGGACUGCAUUUCAUACUGGAAAAUCUAGAGUGCGGGAGAGGAGAAUGGAAUUCCUAGUGUAGCGGUGAAAAUGCGUAGAGAUUAGGAAGAACACCAGUGGCGAAGGCGAUUCUCUGGACCGUAACUGACGCUGAGGCAUGAAAAGCGUGGGUAGCAAAACAGGAUUAGAUACCCUGGUAGUCCACGCCGUAAAACGAUGAGUACUAGGUGUAGGAGGUAUCGACCCCUUCUGUGCCGCAGUU
rnacentral:rRNA from 1 species